AACAACAGACCUAGAGCAACAGACCUAGACCCAGAGCAACAGACCUAGAGCAACAGACCCAGAGCAACAGACCCAGAGCAACAGACCCAGAGCAACAGACCUAGAGCAACAGACCCAGACCAACAGACCCAGAGCAACAGACCUAGAGCAACAGACCCAGAGCAACAGACCUAGAGCAACCGACCUAGAACAACAGACCUAGAGCAACAGACCUAGAGCAACAGACCUAGACCGAGGGCAACAGACCUAGACCUAGAGCAACAGACCUAUAGCAACAGACCUAGAGCAACAGACCUAGAGCAACAGACCUAGAGCAACAGACCUAGACCUAGAGCAACAGACCUAUAGCAACAGACCUAGAGCAACAUACCUAGAGCAACAGACCUAGACCUAGAGCAACAGACCUAUAGCAACAGACCUAGAGCAACAUACCUAGACCUAGAGCAACAGACCUAUAGUAACAGCCCCAGAGCAACAGCCCCAGAGCAACAGACCUAGAGCAACCGACCUAGAACAGACCUAGAGCAACAGACCUAGACCUAGAGCAACAGACCUAGACCUAGAGCAACAGACCUAUAGCAACAGACCUAGAGCAACAUACCUAGACCUAGAGCAACAGACCUAUAGCAACAGCCCCAGAGCAACAGCCCCAGAGCAAAAGACCUAGACCUAGAGCAACAGACCUAGAGCAACAGACCUAGAGCAACAUACCUAGACCGAGAGCAACAGACCUAGAGCAACAGACCUAGACAUAGAGCACCAGACCCAGAGCAACAGACCUAGAGCAACAUACCUAGACCCAGAGCAACAGACCCAGAACAACAGACCUAGACCCAGAGCAUUUCACCUUUAUUUAACCAGGUAGGCCAGUUGAGAACAAGAUCUCAUUUACAAUAACGACCUGGCCAAGAUAAAGCAAAGCAGUUCGACACAAACAACAACACAGAGUUACACAUACAGUCAAUAAUACAGUAGAAACAAGUAGUGAAGCUAGGCCUAUUGAAACAGACCUAUAACAGCAGUACUAUGUCUGGGGAGGAUGUCUAGGCCUAUAACAGCAGCACUAUGUCUGGGGAGGAUGUCUAGGCCUAGAGCAGUAGUACUAUGUCUGGGGAGGAUGUCUAGGCCUAGAGCAGCAGUACUAUGUCUGGGGAGGAUGUCUAGGCCUAUAGAGCAGCAGCACUAUGUCUGGGGAGGAUGUCUAGGCCUAGAGCAGUAGUACUAUGUCUGGGGAGGAUGUCUAGGCCUAGAGCAGUAGUACUAUGUCUGGGGAGGAUGUCUAGGCCUAGAGCAGCAGUACUAUGUCUGGGGAGGAUGUCUAGGCCUAUAACAGCAGUACUAUGUCUGGGGAGGAUGUCUAGGCCUAGAGCAGCAGCACUAUGUCUGGGGAGGAUGUCUAGGCCUAUUGAAACAGACCUAUAACAGCAGUACUAUGUCUGGGGAGGAUGUCUAGGCCUAGAGCAGCAGCACUAUGUCUGGGGAGGAUGUCUAGGCCUAGAGCAGCAGCACUAUGUCUGGGGAGGAUGUCUAGGCCUAGAGCAGCAGCACUAUGUCUGGGGAGGAUGUCUAGGCCUAGAGCAGCAGCACUAUGUCUGGGGAGGAUGUCUAGGCCUAGAGCAGCAGUACUAUGUCUGGGGAGGAUGUCUAGG